CUCUCUUAAAGAUUAAGCCAUGCAAGUGUUAGUAUAGGUGAUUAUACAGCGAGACUGCGGAUAGCUCAUUAAAACAGUUCGAAAAGAAUCGAUGAAAAGGACAACUUGCAAAAGUUGGAAGUGGAUAUUAAAUGUAAUUCAUUUGAUAAUACAUGUGACUUGGAAAUACAAUGUGUCAAAGCAUUGUACGUAUUUAUUAUGAAAAUUAGGGAGUGCCACUGUAAUAGUAAAAUAUUAUGGCCCUAUUGAUUGACAAUGAAAUUUAUAAAUUGACAAAUCUAAAUGUGUUUACUCGAAUAUUUAGAUAAAAUGAACUUCAGACUGAUCCAUCAAAUCAUUCGUGGUAUCUUUGACUACGGAGUUUAUCACGGAUAACGAAAGAUCAGGGUUUGAUUUCGGAGAGAAAGCAUGAGAGUUUGCUUUCACUUCUAAGGAAGGCAGCAGGCCCGGAAAUUAUUCAAUAUCAAUUCGAUGAAAUAGUGACGAGAAUUAUUAGAAUAGGAGAUUUUAUCUGCUAUGUCUGGAAUGAGAACAAUUUAAAACCAUUAACGAGGAACUAUUGGAGGGCAAGUCUGGUGCCAGCAUCCGCGGUAAUUCCAGCUCCAAGAGCGUAUUUGAAAAUUGUUGCUGUUAAAACGCCCGUAGUUGAAUGUAGAUAAGGUUCUUUCACUAAGAUAGUUUUUGUUUGCAGACAAAAAGUGAGUUAGAAUUGAUUAAUAAGGCGAACCCUUAUUAAGAGAAAUGAAUUAGGCUAGUGUUUGUCCUUAACUGUAAAAGGUUAAGGUUUGUUUAGAUAGGAUUCGCUUUGAAUAAAUUAGAGUGCUCAGAGCAAGCGAUUAUCGCUUGAAUAUAUUAGCAUGGUACGACGAAAUUUGAUAAAUCUGAAUUUUUGGUACAACUACAGUAACGAGCUUAAUUUUGAGAUGGAUAAUAGGAGUGUUAAAGCUUUUAUUAUUCGUGAAGUCUCUUUAUUAAGAAACGAUUGUAGCGAGUGCAGAUUUAUAAUGAUUAAAAGGGGCAAAUGGGGUAAUUCAUAUUGACUGGGUAGAGGUGAAAUUCUAUGAUCCAGUCAAGAUGCACUAAUGCGAAAGCAUUUUACCAAAAUGUUUUCUUUAAUCAAGGACGAAGGUUGUGGGCGCGAAGAUGAUUAGAUACCGUUGUAGUCACAACAGUAAACGAUGUUGAUUUAGGAUUGUGAAAAGUUAAUAUUAUGACUUUUACAGCACUAUGUGAGAAAUCAAAAUAUUUAAACUCAGGGGGAAGUAUGGACGCAAGUCUGAAACUUAAAAGAAUUGACGGAAGAGCACCACCAGGCGUGGAAUCUGCGGCUUAAUUUGACUCAACACGGGGAAACUUACCAGGUUAGGAUUUAAAAAGGAUUGACAGACUGAUCGCUCUUUCAUGAUAUUAAAGAUAGUGGUGCAUGGCCGUUUUUAGUUGGUGUUUUGAAAUGUCUGGUUUAUUCUGAUAACGAACGAGACCUCAUUCUAUUAAAUAGUUUGUAGGUUAGAGCAAUUAGAAGUUUCCAUUAUCAGUUUUCUGGUGGUGGACUUCAUAGGUUUAACAUAAAAAACUUCUUAAAGAUACUCUUUACGUUAUAGUAAAUGGAAGAGAGACAAUAACAGGUCUGUUAUGCCCUUCGAUAUCCUGGGCUGCACGCGCGUUACAAUGAAAUAUUCAAUGAGUUAAUCGAAUCCAAAAGGAUUGAGGAAAUCUUAUAACCCAUUUCGUGAUGGGGAUUGUGUUUUGCAAUUAUCGCACAUGAACGAGGAAUGCCUUGUAUUGGCUUGUCAUCAACAAGCUAAGAAUAAGUCCCUGCUCUUUGUACACACCGCCCGUCGCUCCUACUGAUUGAAUUU
rnacentral:rRNA from 1 species